rnacentral:rRNA from 1 species
CAGUAGCCACGGUAAUACAGAGGGUGCAAGCGUUAAUCGGAAUUACUGGGCGUAAAGCGCGCGUAGGUGGUUUGUUAAGUUGGAUGUGAAAUCCCCGGGCUCAACCUGGGAACUGCAUCCAAAACUGGCAAGCUAGAGUAUGGUAGAGGGUGGUGGAAUUUCCUGUGUAGCGGUGAAAUGCGUAGAUAUAGGAAGGAACACCAGUGGCGAAGGCGACCACCUGGACUGAUACUGACACUGAGGUGCGAAAGCGUGGGGAGCAAACAGGAUUAGAUACCCCAGUAGUCCCUGUCUCUUAUAC